rnacentral:rRNA from 1 species
UAGGGAAUCUUCCGCAAUGGACGCAAGUCUGACGGAGCAACGCCGCGUGAGUGAAGAAGGAUUUCGGUUCGUAAAACUCUGUUGUUAGAGAAGAACAGCGCAUAGAGUAACUGUUAUGCGUGUGACGGUAUCUAACCAGAAAGCCACGGCUAACUACGUGCCAGCAGCCGCGGUAAUACGUAGGUGGCAAGCGUUGUCCGGAUUUAUUGGGCGUAAAGCGAGCGCAGGCGGUCAAUUAAGUCUGAUGUGAAAGCCCCCGGCUCAACCGGGGAGGGUCAUUGGAAACUGGUUGACUUGAGUGCAGAAGAGGAGAGUGGAAUUCCAUGUGUAGCGGUGAAAUGCGUAGAUAUAUGGAGGAACACCAGUGGCGAAGGCGACUCUCUGGUCUGUAACUGACGCUGGGGUUCGAAAGCGUGGGUAGCAAACAGG